rnacentral:misc_RNA from 1 species
AUUCAUAAGCACCAAAACAAAUAUGUAGAGAUCUCCUCUUCCAUUCUCUAUUGUUACUUUCGAGAAGAAACAUACAAAACACAUACAUUUUUCUUUUGUUUGUGGUUUUCAUAUAUACAAGUGGGUAUAGCUAGUG